rnacentral:rRNA from 1 species
UACAGAGGUCUCAAGCGUUGUUCGGAUUCAUUGGGCGUAAAGGGUGCGUAGGCGGCGCGGUAAGUCGGGUGUGAAAUCUCGGAGCUUAACUCCGAAACUGCAUUCGAUACUGCCGUGCUUGAGGACUGGAGAGGAGACUGGAAUUUACGGUGUAGCGGUGAAAUGCGUAGAUAUCGUAAGGAAGACCAGUGGCGAAGGCGGGUCUCUGGCCCGAUACUGACGCUGAGGUGCGAAAGCGUGGGGAGCAAACAGG